rnacentral:rRNA from 1 species
AACGAACGCUGGCGGCAUGCCUAACACAUGCAAGUCGAACGAGACCUUCGGGUCUGGUGGCGCACGGGUGCGUAACGCGUGGGAACCUGCCCUUAGGUUCGGAAUAACUCCCCGAAAGGGGUGCUAAUACCGGAUAAUGUCUUCGGACCAAAGAUUUAUCGCCUUUGGAUGGGCCCGCGUUGGAUUAGCUAGUUGGUAGGGUAAAAGCCUACCAAGGCGACGAUCCAUAGCUGGUCUGAGAGGAUGAUCAGCCACACUGGGACUGAGACACGGCCCAGACUCCUACGGGAGGCAGCAGUGGGGAAUAUUGGACAAUGGGCGAAAGCCUGAUCCAGCAAUGCCGCGUGAGUGAUGAAGGCCUUAGGGUUGUAAAGCUCUUUUACCCGGGAUGAUAAUGACAGUACCGGGAGAAUAAGCUCCGGCUAACUCCGCG